UGGCGGAGUAGUUGUUGUGUCUGUAAGUGAGUGCGUGUCACGCACCAGUAACCAGGCGCACGGUGAGGUUGGGGCCUGCGUACUAUGAAGCCAUCUUGGAGCUUUGAUCCUAGAAUGCUAGUUUUUGGAAGCUCGCACGUGCGGAACGCGCCGCCCGGCCGCCACGUGCCCUGAGUAGAGUCUGGGAGACGACAUGCUUGGAGUUUAGGCGUGAGGAGCCUGCUUAUAGGCCUAGGGCGCCACGCGCGGCCCUAUUUCUGGCAUGGGGCCACCGGCUGCCCUGAGCCUAAGCGUCGGCGGGAAAAAUCACCUGAGGAUUUACCAAAGAUGAUUUAAACAUGGGCAACCCCGAAUCUGUAUAGAACUCUAGGGGCUGUUUUGAGCCCAGGCGGCGCUGUUUCCAAUACUAAUUAAUGAGUGGGAGAGGAUUAAUACAGAAAGAAAUUAAAACAUGACACUGAGAAUGUUUGAUUGCAAGCAUCGAUCCCCCGCAGUAAUGGCGCUGGCUUUCGGUGGUACAUCGGAGCUGCUACAUGGAGUCGCUAAGAUGCACAAGGAAAUCCCAAAACAUCGCAUAAAAUUUUUAAUGGAGAAUUACUUGCUUAAAACCUGACAGUCACACCUGGUAUGUGGGACCUAGUAUUGAGCAUACGAUCAAUAUGUAGAACAAGUGAAAUUUUUUGGUCAUUGAACAGCGACCUGGAUGUUGAUGAAUACUAAUGAGGUGAUGAAUCAUCACUGGCUGUAGUCACUUCAGUUUGAGUGAUUGUGGCUGUGUGUGCCCAUUCAGAAGGACCAGUUUGCUGUAAAGUUCAUGGGAUAGAACAAUUUCUGAAUAGUUCUGCAAAGUUUCCUUUUUCUGUUAUCAAAACCUGGUGAUAAGAAAAACAUCCAGGAAAAGCAGACAUGAAGAGAAAACAUACAGUUUGGGAUUAUAUUUUUUAAAUUUAUAGCUAUUAUUAGCUAAACCAUGAAUGGAUUUUAAACAAAAUUCUUGACUUUUGCAUAAUUAACUUUGUAAUCAAAUUAUUCAUGAAUGUUUUGCCAUUAAUCCUCUUGAAUUUAAGAUAGAUAGUUGUAAUUAAAACAGUAAAAGUUACACUGGCUUAUGUAUGAAUUUAGUAAUGUUUUUAUAGAGAGAUGUCUGCUUAUUGAAAUAAGUGGUUAGUAGCCAAGUCAUGGAAUAUUUAGUCAUAAUGUAAUAGGAGAGAAAUGUAAAUAGGAUGUUGAAAAUGAAGGGAGAAUAUAAUAAUAAAGUUUCUAUUGACCUAUUUGAGUCCCAAGUUUUGAAUUCUGCAAUAGUUUCAAUGAAAUUGACACUAGCUUGUUGGGAGGAAUCUUAACCAAGAGCUCAUAUAUAUAUUGAUACUGUUUUUGGAAUUGUGUACUAUAAGUUUUUAUAAGUUUCCAUCCCUGAGAAAGUAGGACAAAAUGGCCAGACCACAUCAGAAAGAACAGUACCUGAUGAUUACUAUCUAGUACUUAGUGAUCAGCCUUUCCCAAUCCUGUCCAGCCACCCUAUUCUCCUUAACCACUGGUACCUAUCAUUCUAUUCUGUGAUAGGAAGUUUUCAGAUUCCUUAUGAGUUAAUAGCAAUACUUGUCUCUAAUUGACUUAUUUCACUUAACAUACUUACCUAGUUCCAUGUUGUCACAAGUGAUAGAAAUUCAUUCUUUUCAUAGCUAAACAGUGUUCCAUUGUGUAGAUGUGCCACAUUUCCUUUAUCCUAUCACCCAUCAAUGGACAUGUAGGAUGAUUCCAUAGAUUGGCUGUUGUGAAAUAGCACUGCAAUAAACAAGCAA